rnacentral:rRNA from 1 species
UCUAAGUAUAAGCAAUUAUACAGCGAAACUGCGAAUGGCUCAUUAUAUAAGUUAUCGUUUAUUUGAUAAUACCUUACUACUUGGAUAACCGUGGUAAUUCUAGAGCUAAUACAUGCUAAAAAUCCCGACUUCGGAAGGGUUGUAUUUAUUAGAUUAAAAACCAAUGCCCUUCGGGGCUCUCUGGUGAAUCAUGAUAACUAGUCGAAUCGACAGGCCUUGUGCCGGCGAUGGCUCAUUCAAAUUUCUUCCCUAUCAACUUUCGAUGUUUGGGUAUUGGCCAAACAUGGUGGCAACGGGUAACGGAGGGUUAGGGCUCGACCCCGGAGAAGGAGCCUGAGAAACGGCUACUACAUCCAAGGAAGGCAGCAGGCGCGCAAAUUACCCAAUCCCGACUCGGGGAGGUAGUGACAAUAAAUACUGAUACAGGGCUCUUUUGGGUCUUGUAAUCGGAAUGAGUACAAUUUAAAUCCCUUAACGAGGAACAAUUGGAGGGCAAGUCUGGUGCCAGCAGCCGCGGUAAUUCCAGCUCCAAUAGCGUAUAUUAAAGUUGUUGUGGUUAAAAAGCUCGUAGUUGAACCUUGGGCCUGGCUGGCCGGUCCGCCUCACCGCGUGCACUGGUCCGGCCGGGCCUUUCCCUCUGCGGAACCCCAUGCCCUUCACUGGGCGUGGCGGGGAAACAGGACUUUUACUUUGAAAAAAUUAGAGUGCUCAAGGCAGGCCUAUGCUCGAAUACAUUAGCAUGGAAUAAUGAAAUAGGACGUCGCGGUUCUAUUUUGUUGGUUUCUAGGACCGCCGUAAUGAUUAAUAGGGACAGUCGGGGGCAUCAGUAUUCAAUUGUCAGAGGUGAAAUUCUUGGAUUUAUUGAAGACUAACUACUGCGAAAGCAUUUGCCAAGGAUGUUUUCAUUAAUCAGGAACGAAAGUUAGGGGAUCGAAGACGAUCAGAUACCGUCGUAGUCUUAACCAUAAACUAUGCCGACUAGGGAUCGGACGAUGUUAUAUUUUUUGACGCGUUCGGCACCUUACGAGAAAUCAAAGUGCUUGGGCUCCAGGGGGAGUAUGGUCGCAAGGCUGAAACUUAAAGGAAUUG